rnacentral:rRNA from 1 species
GACGAACGCUGGCGGCGUGCUUAACACAUGCAAGUCGAACGGUAAGGCUCCAGCUUGCUGGGGUACACGAGUGGCGAACGGGUGAGUAACACGUGGGUGACCUGCCCUGCACUUCGGGAUAAGCCUGGGAAACUGGGUCUAAUACCGGAUAGGACCGCACCGUGAGGGUGUGGUGGAGAGUUUUUUCGGCGUGGGAUGGGCCCGCGGCCUAUCAGCUUGUUGGUGGGGUAAUGGCCUACCAAGGCGGCGACGGGUAGCCGGCCUGAGAGGGUGGACGGCCACAUUGGGACUGAGACACGGCCCAGACUCCUACGGGAGGCAGCAGUGGGGAAUAUUGCACAAUGGGCGGAAGCCUGAUGCAGCGACGCCGCGUGGGGGAUGACGGCCUUCGGGUUGUAAACUCCUUUCACCAUCGACGAAGGGUUUCUGACGGUAGAUGGAGAAGAAGCACCGGCUAACUACGUGCCAGCAGCCGCGGUAAUACGUAGGGUGCGAACGUUGUCCGGAAUUACUGGGCGUAAAGAGCUCGUAGGUGGUUUGUCGCGUCGUCUGUGAAAUUCCGGGGCUUAACUCCGGGCGUGCAGGCGAUACGGGCAUAACUUGAGUACUGUAGGGGAGACUGGAAUUCCUGGUGUAGCGGUGAAAUGCGCAGAUAUCAGGAGGAACACCGGUGGCGAAGGCGGGUCUCUGGGCAGUAACUGACGCUGAGGAGCGAAAGCAUGGGGAGCGAACAGGAUUAGAUACCCUGGUAGUCCAUGCCGUAAACGGUGGGCGCUAGGUGUGGGUUUCCUUCCACGGGAUCCGUGCCGUAGCUAACGCAUUAAGCGCCCCGCCUGGGGAGUACGGCCGCAAGGCUAAAACUCAAAGGAAUUGACGGGGGCCCGCACAAGCGGCGGAGCAUGUGGAUUAAUUCGAUGCAACGCGAAGAACCCUACCUGGGCUUGACAUAUACAGGAUCGCGCCAGAGAUGGUGUUUCCCUUGUGGCUUGUAUACAGGUGGCGCAUGGUUGUCGUCAGCUCGUGUCGUGAGAUGUUGGGUUAAGUCCCGCAACGAGCGCAACCCUUGUCUUAUGUUGCCAGCACGUUGUGGUGGGGACUCGUAAGAAACUGCCGGGGUUAACUCGGAGGAAGGUGGGGAUGACGUCAAAUCAUCAUGCCCCUUAUGUCCAGGGCUUCACACAUGCUACAAUGGUCGGUACAGUGGGUUGCCAGUCCGUGAGGGCGAGCUAAUCCCGCAAAGCCGGUCUCAGUUCGGAUCGGGGUCUGCAACUCGACCCCGUGAAGUCGGAGUCGCUAGUAAUCGCAGAUCAGCAACGCUGCGGUGAAUACGUUCCCGGGCCU